rnacentral:lncRNA from 1 species
UAGGAAUGCUAAUUGGAUGGAGAGUUUCAACAAAAGCUACACUGCCCACCUCACACAGAUUGGCUUUGCCAGGCACUCACUGCCCUUACCAACCGUGGGUAAAUAAUCCCACGCCUGCACGCCUUGGGGCGAGUGCAUUUUUCAUGGGUGAAUACAGAUUUUCCAAGUGAUCAAGAUAGGCUAACCGGGAGUAGGAGACUUGAUUAUACGGCACGGCUGUUGAAUUUCCACGGAGGCCCAGGAAUGCUGUGUCGCAGAUCUCAUCCAUUGACUGUUUCCUUAUGCGGCAGCCAGUGUCCUUACAAGCCCAAGUCAACGUGAGCAUCCCUUCAAGCCCAGGGCGGUGCAGAGAAGGCAACCUGGCACAGUCCACGUCCCACCACUCUCUGCCAGGCACAAAGUGCUGCCGUUUGGCUUCCC